rnacentral:rRNA from 1 species
CAGUCGCCACGGUAAUACAAAGGGGGCUAGCGUUGUUCGGAUUUACUGGGCGUAAAGCGCACGUAGGCGGAUCGAUCAGUCGGGGGUGAAAUCCCAGAGCUCAACUCUGGAACUGCCUUUGAUACUGUCGAUCUGGAGUAUGGAAGAGGUGAGUGGAAUUCCGAGUGUAGAGGUGAAAUUCGUAGAUAUUCGGAGGAACACCAGUGGCGAAGGCGGCUCACUGGUCCAUUACUGACGCUGAGGUGCGAAAGCGUGGGGAGCAAACAGGAUUAGAUACCCCCGUAGUCCCUGUCUCUUAUAC